UGACCUUGGACAUCGCCAAAUUCCAAA
rnacentral:sRNA from 1 species